GAUCCUCUAAGGUCUAUACUUGGUUUGAAUGUAUUGAGUCAAUUUCUGACUUUAUAGCAUUCAAUCAUUUUUCGAAGCCGAUGUCAGACAUCGCCUCAUCAUAGAUUUUAGGAUCAUUUUCAUGACUCUUAUCUCUUAUGAGGAAUAUUUUCUCUACAUCCUCUAUAAGCAUACCCAAGUACCUUUCAAGAGGAUGAAAGAUCCUACUUGAUCUAUGAGGU
rnacentral:lncRNA from 1 species